rnacentral:misc_RNA from 1 species
CAACAUUAAUUAUUCUAUGUGCUGCACUCUGGAUUGGAAGAUAGGCCCCAUCAGUGAUGUUGCAAUCAAGACAUCUAGGUACUUAAUUACCAUUUGGAAAAGUUAUGUGGCAAAUGGUCAAAUUUAUAAUAUAAUUUUCAUUUGGAAAAGAUCCUUAUUUUUGCAAAUAUGCUUUCACAUAUUUUUGUGGAAAUUUUGGAUCAUCUAGAGUAUUAGGAUUGUUUUGUAGUCAAGUCUUUGUCUGUUUAUUAAGAAUGAACAUUUUGCAAGUCUUUCUAGUUGUCCUAGUCUAGUUGAUAAGAAAUUGAGAUCCAUAAAUGUCCAUGUUGUGUUCUUCUUCUUCUUUUUUAUUUGAUAAUAA